AGGUGCUUGUACCGCGGGAGUGUUUUUUCACAUUCGAAUAUUAAUUUUCACGUUCGAAUUCGCGUUUUUGGAUACAUUUCGAACGAAUAUUCGAACUUCGAAUAUUCGUUGACAGCCCUACCCUCUACACAACACCACCCCUCUACACAACACCAGCACCGCUACACAACACCACCCCCUCUACACAACACCACCACCUCUACACAACACCACCCCCUCUACACAACACCAGCACCUCUACACAACACCAGCACCUCUACACAACACCACCCCCUCUACACAACACCACCCCCUCUACACAACACCACCCCCUCUACACAACACCAGCACCUCUACACAACACCACCACCUCUACACAACACCACCUCUACACAACACCAGCACCUCUACACAACACCACCACCUCUACACAACACCACCCCUCUACACAACACCAGCACCUCUACACAACACCACCACCUCUACACAACACCACCCCCUCUACACAACACCACCCCCUCUACACAACACCACCCCUCUACACAACACCACCACCUCUACACAACACCACCCCCUCUACACAACACCACCCCUCUACACAACACCAGCACCUCUACACAACACCACCCCCUCUACACAACACCACCACCUCUACACAACACCAGCACCUCUACACAACACCAGCACCUCUACACAACACCAGCACCUCUACACAACACCACCACCUCUACACAACACCACCCCCUCUACACAACACCACCCCUCUACACAACACCAGCACCUCUACACAACACCACCCCCUCUACACAACACCAGCACCUCUACACAACACCAGCACCUCUACACAACACCAGCACCUCUACACAACACCACCCCCUCUACACAACACCAGCACCUCUACACAACACCACCCCCUCUACACAACACCAGCACCUCUACACAACACCAGCACCUCUACAUAACACCACCACCUCUACACAACACCACCCCCUCUACACAACCCCACCCCCUCUACACAACACCACCACCUCUACACAACACCAGCACCUCUACACAACACCACCCCCUCUACACAACACCACCCCCUCUACACAACAACACCCCCUCUACACAACACCAGCACCUCUACACAACACCACCACCUCUACACAACACCAGCACCUCUACACAACACCACCCCCUCUACACAACACCACCCCCUCUACACAACAACACCCCCUCUACACAACACCAGCACCUCUACACAACACCACCCCCUCUACACAACACCAGCACCUCUACACAACACCACCACACACAGCCAACCCCACCAUACACACCAAACACCACCUCCAACCAACCACACACCUAUCACCACCUCCGUCCAUAACCAGACCCCACCAACCCAACAAUGCCUCCUCCACCUCCACACCAACUUACACAACAUCACCAGACAUAGGCCUACACACACACACACACACACACACACACACACACACACACACACACACACACGUCGUUACAUUAUACUCGGGGGCCCUUCCAGGGUCAAGGGCAGGACACCUGUGA
rnacentral:lncRNA from 1 species